AGACGAUGAAGCCACGCCGGUAUACCGGUAC
rnacentral:sRNA from 1 species